rnacentral:rRNA from 1 species
GUGGCUACGAGGACGACGCUGGCGGCGUGCUUAACACAUGCAAGUCGAACGGGCGGAUUUGGUAGCUUGCUAUCAUUGAAGCUAGUGGCAAACGGGUGAGUAACGCGUAGGCAACCUGCCUCUUGGAUGGGGACAACAUUCCGAAAGGGAUGCUAAUACCGAAUGAUGUAUGAUUUCCGCAUGGAAGUCAUACCAAAGGCCGAGCAAUCGGUCACCAGGAGAUGGGCCUGCGUCUGAUUAGCUAGUUGGUGGGGUAACGGCCCACCAAGGCGACGAUCAGUAGCCGGUCUGAGAGGAUGAACGGCCACAUUGGGACUGAGACACGGCCCAGACUCCUACGGGAGGCAGCAGUGGGGAAUCUUCCACAAUGGGCGCAAGCCUGAUGGAGCAACACCGCGUGAGGGAAGACGGUCUUCGGAUUGUAAACCUCUGUCUUCAGGGACGAAAGGAAUGACGGUACCUGAGGAGGAAGCCACGGCUAACUACGUG